UACGUAAGGGGCGAGCGUUGUUCGGAUUGACUGGGUGUAAAGGGUCAGCAGGCGGCUCUGUAAGUCGGGUGUGAAAUCCAGGGGCUUAACCCCUGAACUGCACUCGAUACUGCGGAGCUUGAGUAUCGGAGAGGUGAGCGGAAUUCCAGGUGUAGCGGUGAAAUGCGUAGAUAUCUGGAGGAACACCGGUGGCGAAGGCGGCUCACUGGCCGAAUACUGACGCUCAGGGACGAAGGCGUGGGUAGCAAACAGG
rnacentral:rRNA from 1 species